rnacentral:tRNA from 1 species
GGGCGUGUGGUCUAGUGGCUAUGAUUCUCGCUUCGGGUUUUACCGGCAAAUUUCUGCCAUGAUUGUGAGAGGCCCUGGGUUCGACUCCCAGCUCGCCCC